rnacentral:rRNA from 1 species
GCUCAGGAUGAACGCUAGCGACAGGCUUAACACAUGCAAGUCGAGGGGCAGCGGGGGUGAUGGCUUGCCAUCACCUGCCGGCGACCGGCGCACGGGUGAGUAACACGUAUGCAACCUGCCCGCCACAGGGGGAUAAGCGGAAGAAAUUCCGUCUAAUACCGCGUGACGCGGCGCCGGGGCAUCCCGGUGCCGCCAAAGGGAUUACCGGUGGCGGAUGGGCAUGCGGCGCAUUAGCUAGUCGGCGGGGUAACGGCCCACCGAGGCGACGAUGCGUAGGGGUUCUGAGAGGAAGGUCCCCCACACUGGUACUGAGACACGGACCAGACUCCUACGGGAGGCAGCAGUGAGGAAUAUUGGUCAAUGGGCGCGAGCCUGAACCAGCCAAGUCGCGUGAGGGAUGACGGUCCUACGGAUUGUAAACCUCUUUUGCCGGGGAGCAAGCGUGCGUUCGUGAACGCGCGUCGAGAGUACCCGGAGAAAAAGCAUCGGCUAACUCCGUGCCAGCAGCCGCGGUUAUACGGAGGAUGCGAGCGUUAUCCGGAUUUAUUGGGUUUAAAGGGUGCGUAGGCGGGAUGCCAAGUCAGCGGUAAAAAUGCGGUGCUCAACGCCGUCGAGCCGUUGAAACUGGCGUUCUUGAGUGGGCGAGAAGUAUGCGGAAUGCGUGGUGUAGCGGUGAAAUGCAUAGAUAUCACGCAGAACUCCGAUUGCGAAGGCAGCAUACCGGCGCCCUACUGACGCUGAGGCACGAAAGCGUGGGUAUCGAACAGGAUUAGAUACCCUGGUAGUCCACGCAGUAAACGAUGAAUGCUAACUGUCCGGCUCGAAUGAGCGCUGGGCGGUACAGCGAAAGCGUUAAGCAUUCCACCUGGGGAGUACGCCGGCAACGGUGAAACUCAAAGGAAUUGACGGGGACCCGCACAAGCGGAGGAACAUGUGGUUUAAUUCGAUGAUACGCGAGGAACCUUACCCGGGCUCAAACGCAGGAUGACGGGUCCCGAAAGGGGUCUUUCUUCGGACAUUCUGCGAGGUGCUGCAUGGUUGUCGUCAGCUCGUGCCGUGAGGUGUCGGCUUAAGUGCCAUAACGAGCGCAACCCCUGUCCACAGUUGCCAGCAGGUAAAGCUGGGGACUCUGUGGAGACUGCCGGCGCAAGCUGCGAGGAAGGCGGGGAUGACGUCAAAUCAGCACGGCCCUUACGUCCGGGGCGACACACGUGUUACAAUGGCAGGUACAGCGGGAUGCCACGGGGCGACCCGGCGCUGAACCCGAAAACCUGUCUCAGUUCGGAUUGGAGUCUGCAACCCGACUCCAUGAAGCUGGAUUCGCUAGUAAUCGCGCAUCAGCCACGGCGCGGUGAAUACGUUCCCGGGCCUUGUACACACCGCCCGUCAAGCCAUGGAAGCCGGGGGUACCUGAAGUGCGUGACCGCGAGGAGCGCCCUAGGGUAAAACCGGUGACUGGGGCUAAGUCGUAAC